rnacentral:rRNA from 1 species
AUUGAACGCUGGCGGCAUGCCUUACACAUGCAAGUCGAACGGUAACAGGCCGCAAGGUGCUGACGAGUGGCGAACGGGUGAGUAAUGUAUCGGAACGUGCCCAGUCGUGGGGGAUAACUGCUCGAAAGAGCAGCUAAUACCGCAUACGACCUGAGGGUGAAAGCGGGGGGACCGUAAGGCCUCGCGCGAUUGGAGCGGCCGAUAUCAGAUUAGGUAGUUGGUGAGGUAAAGGCUCACCAAGCCGACGAUCUGUAGCUGGUCUGAGAGGACGACCAGCCACACUGGGACUGAGACACGGCCCAGACUCCUACGGGAGGCAGCAGUGGGGAAUUUUGGACAAUGGACGCAAGUCUGAUCCAGCCAUGCCGCGUGCGGG